UACGGAGGGUGCAAGCGUUAUCCGGAUUCACUGGGUUUAAAGGGAGCGUAGGUGGGUUGGUAAGUCAGUGGUGAAAUCCCCGAGCUUAACUUGGGAACUGCCAUUGAUACUAUCAGUCUUGAAUACUGUGGAGGUUAGCGGAAUAUGUCAUGUAGCGGUGAAAUGCUUAGAUAUGACAUAGAACACCAAUUGCGAAGGCAGCUGGCUACACAAAUAUUGACACUGAGGCUCGAAAGCGUGGGGAGCAAACAGG
rnacentral:rRNA from 1 species